rnacentral:rRNA from 1 species
CAGCCGCCGCGGUAAUACGUAGAUGGCAAGCGUUGUCCGGAAUUAUUGGGCGUAAAGGGCUCGCAGGCGGUUUCUUAAGUCUGAUGUGAAAGCCCCCGGCUCAACCGGGGAGGGUCAUUGGAAACUGGGAAACUUGAGUGCAGAAGAGGAGAGUGGAAUCCCACGUGUAGCGGUGAAAUGCGUAGAGAUGUGGAGGAACACCAGUGGCGAAGGCGACUCUCUGGUCUGUAACUGACGCUGAGGAGCGAAAGCGUGGGGAGCGAACAGGAUUAGAUACCCCCGUAGUCCCUGUCUCUUAUAC